rnacentral:rRNA from 1 species
GAUGAACGCUAGCUACAGGCUUAACACAUGCAAGUCGAGGGGAAACGAUAUUGGAAGCUUGCUUCCGAUAGGCGUCGACCGGCGCACGGGUGAGUAACGCGUAUCCAACCUGCCCACCACUUGGGGAUAACCUUGCGAAAGUAAGACUAAUACCCAAUGAUAUCUCUAGAAGACAUCUGAAGGAGAUUAAAGAUUUAUCGGUGAUGGAUGGGGAUGCGUCUGAUUAGCUUGUUGGCGGGGUAACGGCCCAGCAAGGCGACGAUCAGUAGGGGUUCUGAGAGGAAGGUCCCCCACAUUUGAACUGAGACACGGUCCAAACUCCUACGGGAGGCAGCAGUGAGGAAUAUUGGUCAAUGGACGAGAGUCUGAACCAGCCAAGUAGCGUGCAGGAUGACGGCCCUAUGGGUUGUAAACUGCUUUUAUUAGGGAAUAAAGUGAGCCUCGUGAGGCUUUUUGCAUGUACCUUAUGAAUAAGGACCGGCUAAUUCCGUGCCAGCCGCCGCGGUAA